AGUGAACGCUGGCGGUAGGCCUAACACAUGCAAGUCGAACGGCAGCACAGUAAGAGCUUGCUCUUACGGGUGGCGAGUGGCGGACGGGUGAGGAAUACAUCGGAAUCUACUUUUUCGUGGGGGAUAACGUAGGGAAACUUACGCUAAUACCGCAUACGUCCUACGGGUGAAAGCAGGGGAUCUUCGGACCUUGCGCGAUUGUAUGAGCCGAUGUCGGAUUAGCUAGUUGGCGGGGUAAAGGCUCACCAAGGCGACGAUCCGUAGCUGAUCUGAGAGGAUGAUCAGCCACACUGGAACUGAGACACGGUCCAGACUCCUACGGGAGGCAGCAGUAGGGAAUAUUGGACAAUGGGCGCAAGCCUGAUCCAGCAAUACCGCGUGGGUGAUGAAGGCCUUCGGGUUGUAAAGCCCUUUUGUUGGGAAAGAACAGCAGCAGGUUAAUACCCGGCUGUCCUGACGGUACCUAAAGAAUAAGCACCGGCUAACUACGUG
rnacentral:rRNA from 1 species